rnacentral:rRNA from 1 species
UAUGAUACAGGUAUUCCGAUACUUAUCACCCCUUGUGUAUCUCUCUUGGUUGCUUCGGCGGGCCGCUGGGCCUGGCUCGGCCGCCGUCCCCGGGUGGCGCGCGCCCGCCGGAAGACGCUGAAACCCCGGUUUUUGCAGUGACGUCCGAGCGAUUGGUUUUAAUCAUAUAAAACUUUCAACAACGGAUCUCUUGGUUCCGGCAUCGAUGAAGAACGCAGCGAAAUGCGAUAAGUAAUGUGAAUUGCAGAAUUCAGUGAAUCAUCGAGUCUUUGAACGCACAUUGCGCCCCUUGGCAUUCCGAGGGGCACGCCUGUUCGAGCGUCAUUUAGACCAUCAAGCCCAGCUUGGUAUUGGGCCACCCGCGGCGCCGCAUGGCGCCCCGGCGGUCCCAAUGGCGUUGGCGGCGCGGCCCGGCCCGAAGCGUGACGACAUCACGGCUCACGGACGGGAGGCGCCCGCCAGAUCACCCUUUCUUCUCAAGGUUGACCUCGGAUCAGGUGGGGGUACCCGCUGAACUUAAGCAUAUCAAUAAGCGGAGGAAAAGAAACCAACAGGGAUUGCCUCAGUAACGGCGAGUGAAGCGGCAACAGCUCAAAUUUGAAAGCUGGCUCCUUCGGGGUCCGCAUUGUAAUUUGUAGAGGAUGCAUCGCGGACGGCGCCGCCCUAAGUCCCUUGGAACAGGGCGUCAUAGAGGGUGAGAGUCCCGUAUGUGGGCGGACGCUGGAAGCACAUGAUGCUCCUUCGACGAGUCGAGUUGUUUGGGAAUGCAGCUCUAAUUGGGAGGUAAAUUUCUUCUAAAGCUAAAUAUCGGCCGGAGACCGAUAGCGCACAAGUAGAGUGAUCGAAAGAUGAAAAGCACUUUGAAAAGAGAGUCAAACAGCACGUGAAAUUGUUGAAAGGGAAGCGCUUGCAAUCAGACUCGCCCGCGGUGGAUCAACCGUCGUUCUCGACGGUGCACUCCGCCGCGGUCGGGCCAGCAUCGGUUCGGGCGGUCGGAGAAAGACGGCGGGAAUGUAG